rnacentral:tRNA from 1 species
UGGAGAGGUGGCAGAGCGGUCGAAUGCGGCAGUCUCGAAAACUGUUAUACGCGCAAGCGUAUCGGGAGUUCGAAUCUCCCCCUCUCCGG